rnacentral:piRNA from 5 species
GGGGCGAAGCUACCAUCUGUGGGAUU